UAGCUCCAAGAUGUAUAAUUAUUUAUCAGUUAUUCUUAAUUGAGCCAGUUGUAAACAGCUGCGUCUUCUAUUUGAAUAGUUUGAUAACCUUUUUAUCAAUGUACAAAACAUGCAAGGUCGCCAGCACUAUCAUAGUGAUAUCCCUAAUUAUCUCCGAUUUGGAUGCAAGGUUGAGUCCAGAAAAGUGCAUGGAGAAGCCACCAGAAAAACACUGUUUGAUAGAAUGGGCCGUUAGGUGGCGCUGGCCUCACAAAAUCAGAUACGUAUUUGACUGGAGCACUCAGAAGUGCUAUGAGAUCCGCUGGUCAUCACACUGUCCAGAUGUACCUUCCCCUUCGGGGAAGAACAACUUCGCGAGCGAGUACGAAUGCCUAAACGAGUGUAGUGGAUGGGCUUAGUAAACAUUCCAGUACUUACUUCGCGAGCAUUCGUUUCACGUCCAUUUUUGUCUGAAGAAUGUUCUCUAAAUAAUAUAAUUCCUGAACCAAUUAAACUUCAGUUUAGUUGGCUGUAGGCAACGAAAGGAAUGUUCGCAGACCAAAUUAUUAAAAUUCUCAGGAAACCAACAAACUGGUCAUUUGCAUAGCUUCUGGUCCCGUAAAAAUAUCUAAUCUAAGUAAAUACUUGUGUGUGUAACCAUAACUUGCAACUUAAUAUAAGUUCAUAUA